UACGUAGGGUGCAAGCGUUAAUCGGAAUUACUGGGCGUAAAGCGUGCGCAGGCGGUUUUGUAAGUCUGUCGUGAAAUCCCCGGGCUCAACCUGGGAAUGGCGAUGGAGACUGCAAGGCUAGAGUUUGGCAGAGGGGGGUAGAAUUCCACGUGUAGCAGUGAAAUGCGUAGAUAUGUGGAGGAACACCGAUGGCGAAGGCAGCCCCCUGGGUCAAGACUGACGCUCAUGCACGAAAGCGUGGGGAGCAAACAGG
rnacentral:rRNA from 1 species